GUUUGUGAGUUCAAGCCCCACAAUGGGCUCUUCAUUGACAGGGUACCUGCUUGGGAUUCUCUCUCUCUCUCUCUCUCUCUCUCUCUCUCU